rnacentral:misc_RNA from 1 species
GCGCACCAAGGCGCCAAGGGUCCUAGAGCUUAGGGGCAAGGGGCAAGCUUGAGUAAGGUGAAGUGCAAAAAUAAAAAAUUAAUAUAAUAUUAAUUCAUAUAAAAAUAUAUGUAAUAUAUUAUUCCUUACAUUCAUUUUAUUGAAAAUCAACAUUGUCAAUUAAAUUGCAUAUAUGAGUAAAAAUUAUCAUUAAAAUGCAUUAUAUUAAUUUUAUUUUUAACCAAAUAUAGCAUUGAAAUGAUAAUUUUAAUUUUCUAUUCUAAUAAAAUUUUUAAUUUUUAAUAUUUUUGCUAUAUAUUUAAUUUAAUAAUAUGUUGCUAAAUAUAACUUAAGAUUAUUUGAAAUGAAUUUUAUAAACUUAUUAUGAAUAAUUAUGUAUUUAAUAUAAAAGUAAUUCAUUUAAUAUUUAAUUUAUGAAAACUAGUAUAAAAAAACAUUAAUAACCGCAAGUCCAUUAUCAUCUACUAAACAAAGUUGCACUUGCCACUUUGCAUAUUACCAUUAAAAUCCUACACUGCUGAAAAAAAGAAAAAAAAAUGCAGAAUAUAAACUCAACAGAAGAAAGAACAAAGCAGAGGAGCAUGAUUACAUCUUCAGGAAAGAAGCAGAAAGAAAAACAGCCAGAUCAUGUCUUCAAGAGGAAGCAGAAAAGCAAGAACAAACAGAGAAGAAGGAAGAAAGAGAGAAGAAAAAAAAUGGGUCUCUUCGCCUUGUGUAGCUGGAUUUGGAACCUGGAGCAGCAGAGACUUCUUCUUUCUUCUUCUUUUUCCUCUCUUCUUCUUUCUUUUUUCCUAAUGGUCUGGCUGCUGGUUAGAGAGACGUAGAAAAUUUGGGUUUCUUCACCUGGUGUAGUUGGGGUUCGCCCAAUGUUAUUAAAGCAAAAUGCGACACUAACGCCAAAGAGGAUAACGGUGAGAGGGGAGGUCUUUUUGAAGAAAGGCACCAUAACCUAAAUUUUCUAAAUUAUAUAUAUGUACAACCAUAGGAUUAAAGCUGGAUGGUUG